rnacentral:rRNA from 1 species
UCCGCCCUUCAGUGCUGCAGCUAACGCAUUAAGCACUCCGCCUGGGGAGUACGACCGCAAGGUUGAAACUCAAAGGAAUUGACGGGGGCCCGCACAAGCGGUGGAGCAUGUGGUUUAAUUCGAAGCAACGCGAAGAACCUUACCAGGUCUUGACAUCCUUUGACCACUCUAGAGAUAGAGCUUCCCCUUCGGGGGCAAAGUGACAGGUGGUGCAUGGUUGUCGUCAGCUCGUGUCGUGAGAUGUUGGGUUAAGUCCCGCAACGAGCGCAACCCUUAUUGUUAGUUGCCAUCAUUCAGUUGGGCACUCUAGCAAGACUGCCGGUGACAAACCGGAGGAAGGUGGGGAUGACGUCAAAUCAUCAUGCCCCUUAUGACCUGGGCUACACACGUGCUACAAUGGGAAGUACAACGAGUUGCGAAGUCGCGAGGCUAAGCUAAUCUCUUAAAGCUUCUCUCAGUUCGGAUUGCAGGCUGCAACUCGCCUGCAUGAAGCCGGAAUCGCUAGUAAUCGCGGAUCAGCACGCCGCGGUGAAUACGUUCCCGGGCCUUGUACACACCGCCCGUCACACCACGAGAGUUUGUAACACCCGAAGUCGGUGAGGUAACCUUUUUGGAGCCAGCCGCCUAAGGUGGGAUAGAUGAUUGGGGUGAAG